rnacentral:rRNA from 1 species
CCUACGGGAGGCAGCAGUAGGGAAUCUUUCACAAUGGGCGAAAGCCUGAUGGAGCAACGCCGCGUGCAGGAUGAAGGCCUUCGGGUUGUAAACUGCUUUUAUAAGCGAGAAAUAUGAUGGUAACUUAUGAAUAAGGAUCGGCUAACUACGUGCCAGCAGCCGCGGUCAUACGUAGGAUCCGAGCAUUAUCCGGAGUGACUGGGUGUAAAGAGUGGCGUAGGUGGCAUAAUAAGUAGCUAGUGAAAUCUGGUGGCUCAACCAUUCAGACUAUUAGCUAAACUGUUAAGCUCGAGACCGUUAGGGGUAACUGGAAUUUCUAGUGUAGGAGUGAAAUCCGUAGAUAUUAGAAGGAACACCAAUAGCGUAGGCAGGUUGCUGGGACGGUUCUGACACUAAGGCACGAAAGCGUAGGGAGCAAACGGGAUUAGAUACCCCAGUAGUC